rnacentral:rRNA from 1 species
UAGGGAAUCUUCGGCAAUGGGGGGAACCCUGACCGAGCAACGCCGCGUGAGUGAAGAAGGAUUUCGGUUCGUAAAACUCUGUUGUUAGAGAAGAACAGCGCAUAGAGUAACUGUUAUGCGUGUGACGGUAUCUAACCAGAAAGCCACGGCUAACUACGUGCCAGCAGCCGCGGUAAUACGUAGGUGGCAAGCGUUGUCCGGAUUUAUUGGGCGUAAAGCGAGCGCAGGCGGUCAAUUAAGUCUGAUGUGAAAGCCCCCGGCUCAACCGGGGAGGGUCAUUGGAAACUGGUUGACUCGAGUGCAGAAGAGGAGAGUGGAAUUCCAUGUGUAGCGGUGAAAUGCGUAGAUAUAUGGAGGAACACCAGUGGCGAAGGCGACUCUCUGGUCUGUAACUGACGCUGAGGCUCGAAAGCGUGGGUAGCAAACAGG